UACGGAAGGCAGCAGUGGGGAAUAUUGCACAAUGGGCGCAAGCCUGAUGCAGCCAUGCCGCGUGUAUGAAAAAGGCCUUCGGGUUGUAAAGUACUUUUCAGUCGUGAGGAAGGUGUUAAGGUUAAUAACCUUAGCAAUUGACGUUAGCGACAGAAGAAGCACCGGCUAACUCCGUGCCAGCAGCCGCGGUAAUACGGAGGGUGCGGGCGUUAAAUCGGAAUUACUGGGCGUAAAGGGCACGCAGGCGGUUAAUUAAGUUGGAUGUGAAAUCCCCGGGCUUUAACCUGGGAAUGGCAUUCAAGACUGGUUAGCUAGAGUCUUGUAGAGGGGGUAGAAUUCCAUGUGUAGCGGUGAAAUGCGUAGAGAUGUGGAGGAUACCGGUGGCGAAGGCGGCCCCUGGCAAAGGCUGACGCUCGAUGUGCGAAAGCGUGGGGAGCGAAACAGGGAUUAGGAUACCC
rnacentral:rRNA from 1 species